UACGGGGGGGGCAAGCGUUGUUCGGAAUUACUGGGCGUAAAGCGCACGUAGGCGGAUCAGUCAGUCAGGGGUGAAAUCCCGGGGCUCAACCCCGGAACUGCCUUUGAUACUGCUGGUCUGGAGGAUGGGAGAGGCGAGUGGAAUUCCGAGUGUAGAGGUGAAAUUCGUAGAUAUUCGGAGGAACACCAGUGGCGAAGGCGGCUCGCUGGCCCAUUUCUGACGCUGAGGUGCGAAAGCGUGGGGAGCAAACAGG
rnacentral:rRNA from 1 species